UUGUGAAAGAGCGUAAAAUAGAGCUACUGUCUCAGUCUCUCUUAUAAAGGGAGUAGUAGUUGUCCCUUUCUCCAUGUUAUAUGCAGAGAUAGGGUUCGCAAAAAAAAUGCAGAGAUAGGGCUAGAGUUCAGAAGGUAGGUGCUUAACCAGUAGUGUUUGUUUGAGUUGGUGAGGCUGGAUAGGAUGGGAUGUCUCAAACUAACCUACUUGGAACCAAAGGCCUCGGGAACCCAAAGUAAAGUCAGAGAACCCAAUGCUGAGAAGGAGCUUGCUCAACCCCUUGUUUACUUCACUCCCAACUUCCAACUUUAGCACUAUGCAAAAAGAAGAUUCCCCAUCACAUCAAACUUGCGGUACAUGUAUGGAGUACUAAAUGUAGAUGAAAUUAAAAAUUAAUUGCACAGUUUUAUUGUACUUUGCGAGACGAAUCUUUUGAGCCUAAUUAGUCAAUGUUUGGACAAUAAUUCACAAAUACAAACGAAACGCUACAGUGUUGCUACAGUAAUUUAGCACCUCCCAAUUUGGCCAAGUAAACAAGGGUUGGUUGCCUGCCAUCAGUAGCCACGCCGCACAUGUGGUGGUGCCAAAUCUUCGGUGCUAAAGUACGACAUCACAACCAUGGUGGUAGAAAGAACUGACGCUGUGAAGAAAGGCCCUGCCAUGGUGUUGGCUUCUCAGGAACCAGCGGUGGCCUUGAUUUUUGUGGCGGCGCCAAACUGUGCUGUGGCAAAAUCAGGCAGAGGUCCAAAAGGCAGAAGAGGGGCUUAGGUAGAUUCGCGCCUCCAGUUCAGCUAGUUUUGUGUUUGGAUGGGAAGAAAAUUCUUACAGCAGGGGACGCUACCUGUGCUUCUGAUGUCCAUAGAUCUCAAAGCACUUUUCCUGAUACUCUUUCAGGGGUGAGAGCGAGCCGUGGCUCUAGGUUCCAGUAGUGGUGUUGCAUUGAUGCUCACUGAACAGCAAUGUAACCAAGGCUAGCAGGGUAUGUAGCCUUGGUAAUUAGUGCCAGAAGUAUGAUGAUCAUAUAAAUCAGCUUUUGGUUCCAUUCGUUUGUUUGAUCGAUCGAGG
rnacentral:lncRNA from 1 species